AGCCUUGAGAAUAUCACGGUAAGAAUUUAAGCUUUAGUUUUCUUUGCAAUAUUUUCUCAGUACUGGUGUUUGAUGUGGGUUGUUUUUUUUUAAUGUUUGAGAGAGAAAGAGUGCAAGUGGGGGAGGGACAGAGAGGGAUAGACACACGCAGAGUCCAAAGUGGGCACCAGGUCUUAGCUGUCACCACAGAGCCCCAUGGGAGGGUAGAACCCAUUAAGAGUGAGAUCAUGCAUGACCUGAGCCAAAGUCAGACACUCAACCAACUGAGCCACCUAGGCGCCCCUUGAUGUGCGUUUUGAUUCACCUAAGGAUAAAUAUGGGGACUUCUGAUGUCUAAUUGACUUUUUAACUCUUGAAAUUCAUCUUUCUCUUCCCUGUUUGGAGUCUAAGUGACAAUGUGGAGGGAGUUGCCAUCUCUUAAGACAUCAGGAGGAGGAACACAUCACCAGAGUAGAGGGAAUGAAAUUAGUGUAAUUUUACAUAGAAAUGAUUAGGAAACAAGUGAUGAUAUGAGCCUGAGGUUUGGAGUGAGUACUUUGCCAUGACCUGGCUCUUCGUGAAAUGUGAAGAUGAGAAAACUCUCUAUCUACAAGCCCAUCAAGAAGCCUGAGCUUAGAGACAAAGCCAGAUAUUGCCAGGCAGGGUGUGUGUCACAAGAGAGGUUUAAACCAUGGUUCUGAGUCUGAGGUGGAGGAAGCCGUUCAUGCCAGGGGAGAAUGAGUGGAGAUGAGAUUUUUGCAAAUGCGGGUAAUGUAUUCUGCACAGGCUCCAUAGACUGUGGUGAUCCUGUGGCGCUGUCUGUUGAGAGCCAGGGUGGCUGCCUGACACUUAAUGAGCCCUCAAAGGCUGGUUGUUCAUCCCUUUGAAUGCAGUGGCGGUGGUGGGGAGAAGAGUGAUCUCAGGACAUGAGAGCUCUCACACUGGGCCAACAAAAGAGAAGUUUGCACUUUAUGGUCAGAUGACAGAAUCAGUCCCUGUUAGAGGAGUCUGUUCUAGAGCUUACAUGUGUUGCCUGUAAUUGGGUCCUUCGUGUGUGUUGAAUAAUAUUCCUUUAAGGUUGGAGGCUAACAUUCUCACGUUGGGAUGAAAAAAGUUUGUCUUCUAGGAAUUGCCAUUAAUCCACAUCCUCCAGCCACUAAGUGUAAAGCUGAGAUGGUACCCGUAUGUUUGAUUCCAAAGACCUUGUCCUCCAGGGCCCCCGGCCUAGGGUUCACGAAGGGCAACCUGUGAGCAGCAGGAAGUCAUCCAACGCCUUCGAGUAGUCAGUCAGUCAGCAGCAGUUUGAGCUUUCCUUGUGUGGAAUUCCAAAUAGCACCUGGGAGUGUGAGUGGCUCAAAUCGAGACUAAAGGAUGGUUUUGUUUGUUCCAUUAUUUGCAGGGACCUAUUUAUGUACCUUAAUAAUUGGAGGAGAGAAAUGUAAGUUGAUAGGAUUUGAUUUUUGUUUCAUCUCUGGUGGUGACAUAAGUAUUUGAAGUGAUUGGAUUUUCUAAGAAGGGUGCUUCCAGAUGGGAGAGAAAUGAGAAGAUAUUUUAUUGUGUUUCUCCAUUUUGGACAAUAUUUUAAAUAGGAAUCUCAUUGAAAUAGGGUUUUCUUAGGUUUAACAUGCUGCUAAAACUUGAUUUCUUCAGGCACAACGGGAAAGCUAAAAUGUUAGUUACACCCACCUGUCAGAUCAUGUGUGCUGCUAAUACACUGGGAUUAUUUGAUGUCACUGGUUUGGUAACAGCCUUAGAACAUGUUUUGUCUCCUUUUAGUUAGUUUACAGUGAAUAAUUGAGAAGAUCCAUACUUUUAAGAAAGAAAACAGAGAACUUCAUUGCUGAAAAAAUAUCCAUUUGGGAACAGAAGAAAAUAAAAAGGCCCUGGAAGACAAGUGUAAUGCAUUGAGGUCUGUGAAAGCAACCAAAGAAGCAAAAGUCAAACAGCUGAAGGACAAAGCAGGCAUCCUUGAAGAAUUCUAUGAAGAAAGAAAAGUGGCUAUAGAAGACUAAAAUGUUCAGGUGAGAACUAUCACAAGUACUGUUGUAUGAAUGAAUGUGACGGCCAGUAGAGAUAACUAAAAUUCUUUUCAAAUUUUUUGCCAAAUGCACUCAGAAUUGUGCCUGUCCUUCUUACCUGGCUUUCUGUCACCCGCAUUUUCCUUUCUGUCCUAAGUGCUUGUCACAUAUUGUGUCAUGUAUUUGGGGUGGAAGAGGGAAGGUAUCAGCAUUAAUAACAUUGAUAUCUGUAUCUGCUUGGGAUUCAGUCCCAUCACGUUGUCUUGUCAUCCAGGAAUUAGGUCAUUUUUGUUCAGGACCACACAUGGGUCAAGAAUGUGUAGGGGAAAAAUCAAUGAUUUUGCUGCAGAAACCACAGAAAUUUAUUUCUGGAAAGGGGGUAGGGGUGCCAGUAGUACUGGAUCCCUGCAUCAGUUCUGCUAGUGAGAUUGUUCACAGCAGGCCAAUCCCUAAGGAAGCUGAGUUAUUUCCUGUCCCCCGAUUUUUGAAGUGUAACUCUUCUGAGUCUUGACCAAAGCCCGCAGCUUCACCAGGGCUCAUCUUUGCUGGCUGCCUCUGAACUAAACACGUUUCCUUCUAAGUCUGUGCCCAUAAAGUUGUUCAGCUAUUUUGCAGUUCAGUUUUCUAUCCCCAAGUUCAUUGAUGAGUCCUGGGGAGAUUGGUUCCCACUGCCAGGCUGGCUUUGUCCUGGGCUUCCUUCUUCUCCAUCUUGGUCACAUGUGUCUUCAUGGGGUCAUUAGAAAUGUGGUGCAUUCGCUCACAUGUUUCCUCCUUUGUACAGUAUUUCCUUUUGUUCUCAGGAGGAGAUCAGGGCCUUUAGAGUCCCUCAUUCACAUUGAAAAGGAAAUACUUCCUUCUCUUCCCUGGAGACUCAGCUUCUGUUAGUCCUUCCCACACCUGGGGUGGAGCCUGCUCUGUCUCACUGGCAUCUUGUUUUUAUCAUUUCUAAGCUCUUUUGGGGAGCACGUACAGCACCCUGGCCACCUUUCUAUUUUCAAUCCCUUACAACAGAACCACUACAUUCCAGCCACUCCAGAAAGCAUUUGUUGAAGGACUGCCUGAGAUGCCGGAAGGAAAUGCAUGUGCCUUUCUCUGUCUAGAGGUUUUGUGUCCGUUUCUAGGAGUCUUUCAAUUUUGCAUGUGACUCUUGAAUACAUCCAGUACCAAGUUGAAACCCUUUAAAGUAACACCAUGAACAAAAUAGUCUGAGAGCAACACAGCAAACCAGCCUUUCUAAGCAUUUCCCUUUGCUGCCUUCACUGUCAAUGAACUGAGUCUUCUUCAAGUACAUUGGCUUCAUGAAGUUGAUAGUUUUCCAUCUGAAAUCUGUUUCCUGGAGAUAAACCCAGACUGUGUGACAGUUCAUAUCAGGUUCUACCUCAGGUGAUGUUGCUGCUCUAAGAUUGGCCUUUUCCUCCACCAGGAUAUGUGAAGGUGGACGCAGGGGUUGUACUCCUGACUCUAGCAAUGUCUGGGAGUGAGCUGCAAUGUUGGGGAAGCCAUAUCCUGGAAGGUCGUCUUUUAGGGUGAUUGUCUUUGUCAGGGUACAACUUCUGGACUGAGAAUCAGGGCUCCCCACGGAGGUGU